CCGCCUGCCCUGUGACUAUAUGUUUAACGGCCGCGGUAUCUUAACCGUGCGAAGGUAGCGUAAUCACUUGUCUUUUAAAUGAAGACCUGUAUGAAUGGCAUCACGAGGGCUUAACUGUCUCCCCUCUCCAGUCAAUGAAAUUGACCUCCCCGUGCAGAGGCGGGGAUAUUUAUAUAAGACGAGAAGACCCUGUGGAGCUUUAGACCUAAAGUAAACCACGUUUAAUGUACUAGAAUUAAUAGCAAAAACUUAGUGGACAUUUAUUUAAGUGUCUUUGGUUGGGGCGACCACGGAGUAAAACAUAACCUCCAUGUGGACGGGGAUACUUUCCCUAAAACUCAGAGCCUCCACUCCAAGCAACAGAAAUUCUGACCUUACUGAUCCGGUACAACCGAUUAACGAACCCAGUUACCCCAGGGAUAACAGCGCAAUCCCCUCUCAGAGCUCAUAUCGACGAGGGGGUUUACGACCUCGAUGUUGGAUCAGGACAUCCUAGUGGUGCAGCCGCUAUUG
rnacentral:rRNA from 1 species